CAGGACUCAAACUGACGAUUCGAUCGCAGUACACAUUGUCGUUUGGAUAACCCAUUGAACUGUCAUUGGCGGAUUUGAAAAAACGCUCUCUCAUUCGUUUUGAAUUUUUCCUUUAAAUACAAACUAACAAUGCCUGGACUCGCAAGGUCGGAUCUUCAAGCCAUGGCCGGCGAAAACGCGCAGAUUCUGAGGCAGCUGGAGAAAGAUGUUGUGCAGAUCCAACGUCUUGCCCUCGCAAUGGCCACACGGAUUAAGCAACUCGCGGAAAAGCAGAAGGAGUUAGAAGUAUCGCUAGCCUCGCUCAACGACUCAAUCUCGGCACUGGAAUAUUUACGUGCUUUUGAGCGGGCAAAAGCCCAAGCCGAAAUGGACGCUGAUUGUGUUGAUAAAUAGUUUAUGGGAACAUUUUAGGGCAAUCUUGUUAGUGUUACUGAUGCUGCUUCAAAUAAAGAUUAUUUAAAAUAUUUCACUAUA